CGCCUUUGUCCAGUGGCUGUGUGCGAGGCUGGGGUGGAGGAGUCGGCGUGGCUCGCCACGGGCAGGCCGGACCGGUUUCGGGUGGCACUCACAGGCGAGACGAGGAUCGCUCCCCGCUGCAGAACCUCGCACCCACAUCCCGGGUGAGACGCUCCCUCGCCCUCACUCACAGGCCGUGGGCCCAUGUCUACCUCCGCCAGGGGCUGACUCGCCAGCUCGUCCUAUGACCGCCGUCCUCCCUGUGAUCCACCACUACGGCAUGGGAAGGUGGCUGCUUUGGGAAGGCAAGCCACCCAGACUCAAGAAUCUGAGCGUCAGCCGUGAGGACGGGAGAAGCCCACGAGCGUUGUGCUCUCUGCUGAACGGCGCGGCCUAAGGAAGCUCCAGACGCAAGUCCCAUUUCACCUCCUCCACCAAAAGCCACCACCACCCCUCGGCGACACCGCAAGCACCCGCGGCCAGGGACCACCGCCUCCACCCGCGGCCAGGGACCACCGCCUCCACCCGCGGCCAGGGACCACCGCCUCCACCCGCGGCCA